AUAAACCCAUGUUAAACCCAAAGAGAGGUGGAAUAUAUGAAGUAGAAAAUACCAUAGAUAUCCAUCAUAAGGUAGAUGAAUUGUCCCAAAAGUUAGAUCGAUUAUUAAGUAUAGGACAGUCACCUUCUCCAUCCCGUCAGAUACAAGAUAUAUGUGCAUUGUGUUCGAGCCCCACUCAUUGUGUGAAUGAUUGUCCGGUUGCACCACAGUUUCCUGAACAUGUACAAGAACAAGUCCAUCAAGCCCAAACUACUCAUA
rnacentral:lncRNA from 1 species